ensembl:snRNA U6 U6 spliceosomal RNA
GUGCCUGCUUCCGCAGCACAUAUACUAAAAAUUGGAAUGACACACAGAAGAUUAACAUGACCCCCUGCACAAAGAUGACAUACAAAUUCAUGAAGCGUUCGUAUGUUUU